UGGCUCUGUUUGUGCCAUCGCUGAAUAAACUGCAAAGCCAACAGAUGCUGCGAUUCAUAAUCCUGGAUGAAGAAAACAAAAAUAUUUAAGCACUCUAUUCAAGGGACAUUGGUAAGAUGCUGAUUCCCUGAUGCCAGUUCCCUUUUAGUGCAUCUGCAUCAUGGAGCACCAUCAUCCAUGAAGUAUCUUUUCUUAUUGUGUUGCACUCCUGUGCCCAUGUUUCUGUUAAUUAAGAUGUGCUAAAUCUAAUAGAACUUUUGGAAAUAUAUUGAGGAGGGUUGUUCUUUUUCUUUGCAGACAAGCAAUUCAAGGAGAAACCAGCAUCUUUGCUGCCCCUGUGUGGACUCCUCUGACAAUGCUUUCCUAUGUCCUUUGACAAUGUUUACUACAAACAGAUACAGUCAGAGGAUCUAUGCUGACUAAGCUGAGGUGCAAAAAACUAAUAUACAAUAGUCAGUUAUGCUGGGAAGAGGUGCCCUUUAGAUGUGAUUGGAUAGACUUCUGCAGGUGUCCAUCUGUGAUAUCCAUCUGUGGUUUCUAGAUUAUUGGAAAUGUACUCCCUAAAUCAUAAUGUCUUAAUUCCAGAACUAAUUUUAUGAUUAUUUAUAGUGGAAUAGCUGCAACUGGGUGUUCUGAAAAAGAGCAAAUUUUCAAUUAUUUAACUCACUAUUGUAUAUUUAUUGCCAUGAAGAAGGAGAAGAGAGUGAUAGUGGCGAAUAUCUGUAGCUCAGAUAUAGGUUGAGGGUGGAAGUUCAGUCUCCAUGUUUGUCGAUUGGUUUCUGACCGUUUCAUUACCAGGCUACCUAACAUCUUCAGGAGAAGCGACUGUGAAAAUAUUUACCUCAUACCAAAAUAAAUUGUUUGGAACUGAGGUCCUUUUUUGUUGUUUUGACAUGGCUGGUAAUGGAAGUCAAUUGUUGCUUGAUCUCAGACUUCAAACUAAUAGGCACAUCAAGUUCAGUGGUUCUUUCAGACUUCAAAGAAGUGGCUGGGUACUAUAAUCUUUACUUUACUGUCAGCAAAUUCAUAAGGAAUUAAACACAUAGACUAUUUCUCCUGAAAAUUCAGAACCCUGGAAUGCUCUGUUCAGGGCUUCUAACCAUACUCAAUAAUCAUGUUUGUAUAUUUGCUUGUUUGUUUUUAUUUGACAUACAUGCUCUAGCUUUCAUUGUAUCUAAGAUGAGUAGUUUUUCAGUCUGAGAGAUAUCUUUGUGGAGCCUUCUUCUUAGUUCCUCAAAAAUGAGCCAUAAGCUUUACAAAGUUGUGAAGUAAUCAGCCAGAGUCUGUUAAACAAAAGACUGCUUUAUGCUUUUUGACAAAUAUGACUUCUCUUAAUAAAAUCAUCUGCUCUUUUUCAAAUCAUUUUUUAAAAAAUUUACCUUCUUUUGCAAAAUUCAACAUUCAGUAAGGAGGGAAUUCUCUAAUUGUAAGUCAUGGCUUCUGGGGAGGUUGCAAGCGAGCUAAUGGGGAGUCACAACUAUGUAUGUGAUUUAAAUUUUGACGAGGCUUGUGCACACAAAGCAGAAGUAUGGUACUAUCAGAUCUUCCUGUUUUUGCUAGACAAAUCUUGCAUACAAAGUAAACUGUAAAAUGUCAGCACUUGAAUAGGGAGCAUAAACCAUCCAUCACUCUCAACAGCAGUUGACUUCUCACAUGGCAUUUGUUCAUCAAAGUGUGUGUACAGUUGUUAGUGAAGUUCAGUAUUUUUAUACACUAUUGUUAAUUUCUAGACUUCCAAGACAGAAAUGUUUCUGUUACCUGGUAAAAAAAAGCUAAAGAUAAUCUAUUUAUUAAUAAUGCCGUUAAAACAAAUUUAAGCCAAGAAAGUGUGAAUAUGGUAUAUAUUUUAGUAAGUAAUAUAUUCAUAUAUUGCCCAUUCUAGCAAUAAUAGAAUCAAUUUUAUUUAUGGGGCGAGGGGUGUUACACAAUUUUAUUUAUCAUUGGAUUGAAGAUGAAAAGUUUGAAAAUCCAUGCCAUAAGGAUUGGAUUAAUUCAAUUCUAUCUGUUCUAUCUGCAUUGAGGGAUUAUCCUGAGUGUCAGUAGGGAGUAUCAAAGAAACCUAUUACACUUGUACAUAAGUGUUUCUUAACAUGAAAAGACUCUUCCAUGCAUUUUGAAUUCUUAUGUUCACUAAAAUGUUUACUUUUAGAAUGCAUAAACUUGGAAACCAAGAACAUCCAUCCAUUGAGAAGCCUAUUUUGCUUUGUUUUUUUUUUCCUUUCCUUUCCUUUCCUUUCCUUUCCUUUCCUUUCCUUUCUUUCUUUCUUUCUUUCUUUCUUUCUUUCUUUCUUUCUUUCUUUCUUUGCAUUUUCAUGAAUCGUUGCAUUGGACCUGCUCCCUCAAUGAAAGAGAAAAACAGAGAAGCUAAUUCAUGCAGAGAUACAGCAAAAUGGAUUUCAUGAAAGAAGGAAAAAGGACAUAUUAGUCUUCCAGACUUAAGAAAAAAAAACCCUUAUCAUUUAUUUCCUGAUCAAACAGGUCAGCUUUGGGAUUUCUGUAAGCACCGUGAAUUCAAUAACCCAUCUCUCUACUCAUCUAUAAAACCAGAACAUUGACAGUUCAAUUUUCCUCUUCAAAACAACAAAGUGAUUAGAAAAGCAUCAAGUAGUUAUUUGAAGUUAAAGAAAAAUGGGUAUCAAUAAGAGAUUCUUUUUGUUCUGGAAUUGGUCUGAUAGUACGGCACUUACAACUCUGUUCAAAGGAAAAUUGCUUUUCCCAUUGACUAGCAACGUAAAAGAAAGCAAAACACUAACAAGAAGAUGAAGGCAAAAGGGGAACUGAAAUUUAUUUUAAACAGUACAUGACAUAAUCAAGAGAACAGCCUUUCACUGUCCAUGAUGUUGAUAAAUGUCAUCAUUCAUGUUUUAUGUGUAUUCAAUUUCUAUAAUGGCUUUUCAUAUAAAAUUUGAUGUUCUUCUCUGAAUCCAAUUUUCUUUAGAUAACACAAUUGACAAAGAAGCCCAUACAUGAAGUAUAUUUGUUACAUGAAACUGCAAACUUCCUGUGGAAUUGUAUUUCAUUUUGUAUCUGUGUUUGUCAUAAUAAAUGAAGGUCAUAUGAUAUUUA